rnacentral:lncRNA from 1 species
AAGAAUUACAGGCUCACUGCAAGGUCAAGAAAAGAGUUUUCAUCAUUAUUAUUUUAAACCAAGAUGCGUCCUCAGAUAGUCUAACUGAAAGUAAACAGUCUGCACACAACAACAGAGGGUUUUUGAAAAGAAGAGAACUGUGGCGUCAAAGAAGGUAUAUGAACUGGUGAGGGUACUUAAGCAGAAUGCUUUAAAAGGAUGAAAGAGAAACCAGAGGAAAUUGAGUUGUCUCAAAUCAUCAUCAUCGCUGAGCCUGAUAAUCACCAACAUGUAUCCAAUGAGCUUGUCACAGUACAUGAUAUUUUACAAUAUGGAAAGCCAAACGAGAUAGAACAGCCUGAUUAUUUUUACUUGGCUCUCUUCGCCUGCUUGUGUUGCUUUUUCCCGGUUGGUAUUUGCGCCCUCACAAAGUCCAUUAAGGUAAAGAGGUACAUGUCAUCUGGGCAGACAUCGAAUGCAGUACUCGCCUCUCAUGAUGCUCGUUAUUAUACAUCCGUCGCUAUUGGGGUUGGUUCAGCCUUUCUUUUGACCUCCGUCUGUGCAUUUAUCGUCAUAUAUGCGGCAUUCCGUACGUUAUGAAAAUAACUAUACUUAAACGAGUCAUAUAUGUGGCCAUCCAUGAUGAUAAUAAUAAAGGGAAGGGAUAAAGAGGAUGCACAGAUAAAAAAUAAAUGUUUUAACAUAAUUACAAGAACUAUGAUAAUACGAGCGCGAAGCGCGUUUUUUUGGUCGGAUUGAGACCCAAAAAGCAGGAAAAUUUUAAGCUUUUUUGUUAUCAUAAACGGGAGACCUUUCUGACAAUUAGAUAUUGCGAACGCGAAGCGCGAGCUUGAAAUUUUUAAUAUUCAUAAAUGAAAAGCGAUUGUUUGUAGGAAUUCAAGAAAAAACAGGCCCAAGUAUUUCAUUAAUGACAUUUUCAGCGAGAAGCGCAAGCUUAAAAACUGUUAUAUUCAGACCUGAAACUUUACAUUUUUUAAAAUAAUUCAUGAAUAGCAUAUACAUAGAUUGUUGUAGCCCAGUGGAUUAUUCUUCUGACUUUGAAACAGAGGGUCGCAGCAAGAAACUCAUCCACAUUGUACUGCACUCAACCCAGGUACCGGUAGGAAGAAAUUCCUUGCAUGCUUGAGCGCCUAGGCAGCUGAGCUAAAGCCGGGUUAAUAGGGUCCGCUGGGAGAACAGUUUUCGGAACAGAAGUGUCUACCGUUGGUAAAUAUGUUAUUAUCAUUAUCAUUACGUAUCUCACCAUUAAACCAAGGUGAGCGAGAAGGGGGCAGGUUUUUUUUACACAUAUAUGUUUUUCAAUUUUGAAGAUGUUUUUCAAAUAGUUUUGUGUAUGUGUCUCUCUGUCUUGCAAAUAAUUGUAUUAUAUUGGAUGGCUUUAUUUCAUGGAAUACCAGAAAUAUUCCAAAAGUUAGUGAAAAUAUUCCACAAAUCGCAGAUGAGUGGAAUAUUGGCCCUAAUGAGUGAAAUAUGUCUGGUAUUCCAUGAAAUAAAGCCAUCCAAUAUAACUAUUAUCAUCUAUCCCACCCCUAGCAACCAAAAAGAGAGACAGAAAUUUAAUUGAACAAGUCAUAUCAACUUAUCACAUAGUGGCAUCAUCACUUUAUAAUAUCAAAUUUGGUCGUUGACAUGCGACUUGCAUGUAGUUCAUUAUGAUGUAAUUGAGUGUCGGUGUGCUCUUAUGCUGCGCAUCGCAUUGCUUUGUUGUUUUUUGUCUACGUUUCAUUGUUUUACACGUUCUAUAUUUCACGCAUUCGCGCAUGCGCGCUAUUCUGUUGAAUACGCUCUCAUAGUCAAUAGCAAAUUUUGUACUGGAGCCUAUAUUCUUUGGAUUUCGGUCAUUCUAGGAAUACGCUCUGAUACUGUACAGGCAAUUGAUGCAGCCCAAAAUACGCGUUUCUUAGGUUUGGCUAAAACGCUUUAUAUGGAUGAUAAUAUUUUAUGUAAUUUUUAAUGUUUAUUUAAUUUAUCAUGUUUAUUAUACCCUUUCUUAGUUCGCUUAAAUGAUGUAUAACGUUUUCUAAUGUAUCUUUGCACUGUAUAUGUAUGUUUCUCAGGACUAUGUCUUACAAGCUGUGCUUUUAAUAGAUCACCUCACUUCUGCAUUUUGAUUUUUGUUAAUUUAUUGUUACUACAUUGAUGACAUGUAUAAUAUUUUGUAGAAAUGAAAAUGAACUUGAAACUUGACUUAAAUUAGAGAGGUAUAUAGCUCUUUAUGAUUGAGUUAUUAAAAUAAAAAGAAACUAGAAUGUAUUUACAUGGAAUGUUUUCAAUUUGCAAUUAAACUUAAAGUACAUUGUAUUGCGAAAUAAUCGAAAACAUUUUUUUUUCUCCUCCUGAUUACGAAUUGUCACACUUAGAAACAGAAUAACAUAUUGCUCUUAUACCGCUAUUCUCUGUUGAUAUCCUAAUACUUUGCAUUCAUGUUACCACUUACGUUUUCACUGAAUUCAUUCUCAUUGAGAUUGGUGAAUAAUAUACUUCAAAAACACAUAUUACAAUCACUACAAAUCUUUUAACAGACAUAUUUCUUUUUGUGAGCAGAUAUUAAAACUAGCAAAUCAAUGAUGUGGAGCUCAUCCGGCAUCUCGCCAUGAAAUUUCACACAAUUUUAAUUUCAGCCCAGUUGACACUGAA